rnacentral:rRNA from 1 species
GACGAACGCUGGCGGCGUGCUUAACACAUGCAAUUCGAACGAUGAAGCUAGAGCUCGCUCGGGUGAAUUAGUGGCGAACGGGUCAGUAACACGUGAGUAACCUGCCCCAAACUCUGGCAUAACUCCUCGAAAGAGGUGCUCAUACCGGAUACGAACUACACAGACAUCUGUACAAGUUGGCAAGUUGUUCGGUUUGGGAUGGGCCCGCGGCCUCUCAGCUUGUUGGUGAGGUAACGGCUCACGAAGGCUACGACGGGUAACCGGCCUGAGAGGGCGAGCGGUCAGACUGGGACUGAGACACGGCCCAGACUCCUACGGGAGGCAGCAGUGGGGAAUAUUGCGCAAUGGGCGAAAGCCUGACGCAGCGGCGCAGCGUGAGGGAUGAAGGUCUUCGGAUCGUAAACCUCUUUCAGUAGGGACGAAGCGAAAGUGAAGGUACCUAAAGAAGAAGCACCGGCUAACUACGUGCCAGCCGCCGCAGUAA